AUUGAACGCUGGCGGCGUGCCUAACACAUGCAAGUCGAGCGGUAACGCGGGAGCAAUCCUGGCGACGAGCGGCGAACGGGUGAGUAAUGCUUCGGAAUCUGCCCAAUGGUGGGGAAUAACCAGCCGAAAGGUUGGCUAAUACCGCAUAAGUCCUAAGGGAGAAAGCGGGGGAUCGUAAGACCUCGCGCCGAUGGAUGAGCCGAAGUCGGAUUAGCUAGUUGGUAGGUAACGGCCUACCAAGGCGACAAUCCGUAGCUGGUCUGAGAGGACGACCAGCCACACUGGGACUGAGACACGGCCCAGACUCCUACGGGAGGCAGCAGUGGGGAAUAUUGGACAAUGGGGGAAACCCUGAUCCAGCGACGCCGCGUGUGUGAAGAAGGCCUGCGGGUUGUAAAGCACUUUUAGUGGGGAUGAAAAGCUCAGGGCUAAUACCCUUGGGUCUUGACCUAACCCACAGAAAAGCACCGGCUAACUCUGUGCCAGCCGCCGCCGUAA
rnacentral:rRNA from 1 species